UGGGGUUGAUGGCAGCUUUCUGAAUAUUUCUUGCAGUAGUUCAUCACAUAACAUGUCAUCCAUGGUCUCCUUGCUGCAAACUCUGCAAACUUCAGAGGUUAGUUGUGAGGCUUUGAGUUCCUGUGAUGGGUAUUGACAAACUGACUUUGUGGCUGUGAUUUAAAGGUUGAAUUGAAUGUUGAUUAUGUGAGAAUUUUAGGUAAGCACAGAUGGAAGCCCGUGGAACACAUAUUGUUGUUGGAACUAAAACAAGCUUCUCCUUGGAAAACCGGAACCAGAACAGACAACUCUUGAACAUUUGAGACUUGGAAGUUCAUGCAUUGGGG
rnacentral:lncRNA from 1 species